CUGGGAAGGAGGGAGGGAAGGAGUGAUGAAUAGGUGGAGUACAGAGAAUUUUUAGGGCAGUGAAACUACUCUGUAUGAUACUAACAUGGUAGAUACAUGUCAUUAUAUGUUUGUCCAAACUCGUAGAAUAUACAACAGCAAGAGUGAACCAUAAUGUAAACUGUGGGCUUUGGGUGAUAAUGCUGUGUCUAUGUAGGUUCAUCAAUCAUAAUAAUUCUAUCACUUUAGUGGAAGAUGUUGAUAAUGGGAGAGGCUAUGCAUGUAUGGGGGGCAGAGGGUAUGUGGUAAAUUUCUGUACCUUCCCAUCAAUUUUGCUGUGAACCUAAAUUUACUCUAAAAAAUAUAAAGUUUAA